rfam:Puccinia sorghi strain RO10H11247 Scaffold_498, whole genome shotgun sequence.
GUGUCUGUAGCCUAGUUGGUUAAGGAAGCAAUUUAGUAUCUCUCUAAGAAUUGAUGAGGUUGUGGGUUUGAGUCCCACCAGAAACA